AUCUAGCUGACGAGUCCCAAAUAGAACGAAAUGCACAUCCUGGAU
rnacentral:hammerhead_ribozyme from 1 species